rnacentral:rRNA from 1 species
AUUGAACGCUGGCGGCAUGCCUUACACAUGCAAGUCGAACGGUAACGCGGGGCAACCUGGCGACGAGUGGCGAACGGGUGAGUAAUGCAUCGGAACGUGCCUGGUAGUGGGGGAUAACUACUCGAAAGAGUGGCUAAUACCGCAUACGAUCUACGGAUGAAAGCGGGGGAUCGCAAGACCUCGCGCGUCUGGAGCGGCUGAUGGCAGAUUAGGUAGUUGGUGGGAUAAAAGCCUACCAAGCCAACGAUCUGUAGCUGGUCUGAGAGGAUGAUCAGCCACACUGGGACUGAGACACGGCCCAGACUCCUACGGGAGGCAGCAGUGGGGAAUUUUGGACAAUGGGCGAAAGCCUGAUCCAGCCAUUCCGCGUGCAGGAUGAAGGCCCUCGGGUUGUAAACUGCUUUUGUACAGAACGAAAAGCUACUGGCUAAUACCUGGAGUCCAUGACGGUACUGUAAGAAUAAGCACCGGCU